rnacentral:rRNA from 1 species
GCCCCAAUUUAUUGGGACAUGGCAAACGGGAGAGUAACACAUUGGUAAUCUACCCUGAGGUUGAGAAUAACCCGGAGAAAUUCGGAAUAAUACUCAAUGACAGUGGGGGGACAUAAGUCAUUCCCACUUAAAGCUCCGGCACCUCGGGAGGAGCCUAUGGACUAUCAGCUUGUUGGUGAGGGUAAAAGCCCACCAAGGCUAUGACGGUUAGCGGGUGUGAGAGCAUGACCCGUCUCACUGGGACUGAGACACUGCCCAGACUCCUACGGGAGGCUGCAGUCGAGAAUCUUCCUCAAUGGCCGAAAGGCUGAAGGAGCGACGCCGCGUGCAUGAAGAAGCUCUUCGGAGUGUAAAGUGCUUUUAUUAGGGACGAAUCAAUGACGGUACCUAAUGAAUAAGGGGCUGCUAACUUCGUGCCAGCAGCAGCGGUAAUACGAAGGCCCCAAGCGUUAUCCGGAUUUAUUGGGCGUAAAGGGUCCGUAGGCGGCUUUAUGCAUCUCCUGUUAAAUCUAUCGGCUCAACCGGUAGGCCGCGGGAGAGAUGGUAAAGCUAGAGGCCGGAAGAGGCAAGCGGAAUUGCUGGUGUAGGGGUUAAAUCCGUUAAUAUCAGCAGGAACACCAAAUGCGAAGGCAGCUUGCUAGAACGGUUCUGACGCUGAGGGACGAAAGCGUGGGGAGCGAAUGGGAUU